UUCGAUUUUUGUAAUCAUAAU
rnacentral:piRNA from 1 species